rnacentral:rRNA from 1 species
UAGUCCGCACAGUAAACGAUGAAUGCUAGCUGUCCGGGGGAAUUGACCCCUGGGUGGCACAGCGAAAGCGUUAAGCAUUCCACCUGGGGAGUACGCCGGCAACGGUGAAACUCAAAGGAAUUGACGGGGGCCCGCACAAGCGGAGGAACAUGUGGUUUAAUUCGAUGAUACGCGAGGAACCUUACCCGGGCUCAAACGCCGAAGGAACAUUCCCCGAAAGGGGAAUGGCCAGCAAUGGUCUUCGGCGAGGUGCUGCAUGGUUGUCGUCAGCUCGUGCCGUGAGGUGUCGGCUUAAGUGCCAUAGCGAGCGCAACCCCCACCGACAGUUGCUAACUGGUCAAGCAGAGGACUCUGUCGGGACUGCCGGCGCGAGCUGCGAGGAAGGCGGGGAUGACGUCAAAUCAGCACGGCCCUUACGUCCGGGGCGACACACGUGUUACAAUGGCAGGUACAGCGGGAUGCCAUGGGGCGACCCAGAGCGGAACCCGAAAACCUGUCUCAGUUCGGAUUGGAGUCUGCAACCCGACUCCAUGAAGCUGGAUUCGCUAGUAAUCGCGCAUCAGCCACGGCGCGGUGAAUACGUUCCCGGGCCUUGUACACACCGCCCGUCAAGCCAUGGGAGCCGGGGGUGCCUGAAGGCCGUGACCGCGAGGAGCGGCCUAGGGUAAAACUGGUGACUGGGGCUAAGUCGUAACAAGGUAGCCGUACCGGAAGGUGCGGCUGGAUCACCUC